AGCACAGCGUGUCACCAGAGAGGAAAAGAAUAUCCUUGCUGUGCCAAGAAAGAAAAGACCAUGGAUCUACUAGUUGCAGAUUUCAGCAGUAAUGCCAAGGGGGCAAGAAGUGACCAGCAGAACAAUUAGGCCAUGGCAACAGAAGCCAACUACAACCCAUGUUCCAAUCUAUGACCUCCCUCUCCUGCUGGUACAAGGAUAUGGGCAAGAGCUGAUAAUCAACUGACUAAUGAGGAUUGACUUCUACAAUUGAUGAGCAUGGAAUUGGAUGUGCCUAAAUCAACAGAAGAGGGAUUUUGAUGUCAUCACACUGUAGCCCCAGAAGACAGAACGCUCAAAGGUGUCAAUGGGCAGAAUUUGUAGAUGACAUACAGCAUCCAAUGGAUUACUCCUAUUCAGUAUUCCUUAGAGCAAAGGAUGCAAUGUCAAGCAAGUUGUGAUACCUCAACUAUCUACAAUUUAACACCAAGGAAAGAACACUGUUUGGAGAAAUGAGAAAGAUUAUCAUCAGUGUCUUUCAGAAGUCAUCAAAAGAAGAAAAGGAGAAAAGAGAGGAGAAAGCAGAAAGAUCUGGAGUCUGGGAAGUUCAAGAGCAUGGCACCAACAUCUGGCAAGGGCUUUCAUUCUGCAUCAUCUCAUGGAGGAAAAUAAAAAGGAGGCUGGAUGCUCCUGUGAAGUACGUCUUUUAUCUACUUGCUAUCUUUGCAAUUCCUUCAUGCUACAAUGAGAGAUAGAGUUUAAACCUGAAAACAUUCUUGGAAAAGGAAUCUUCAUUAAUUCAAAUAUACCACAAGGUUCUGCCACUGUGGCCAUCACCUGGGAUUGGAGAAAGGCAAAUGGAACAGACCAACUCAGAAUUACAGUCCUCAUUUAUUUCAUCAGAGGUUGGCCUGUACUUACAUUAGCCCUUUCUGGCUAGAGCUUCAUGUCUCACCCACUGUCUGUUCACUUCUGACCUGAAACAAUGGGACUGCAGAAGAGAGAAGGAAAAUAUCUGGUGGUCAGGCUAACUCUGUGUACCCCAUGAUGAAGAUGUUUUCCAUAGGAGUUCAUUGUCACAGUGUCUUCCAGAGUCCUCACGAGUAUCAGAGAAGGCAUAAUCUGUACACGUGGCUUCAUUUAAAAUGAAAAUAUCAAGCAGUGUCAUUUUCACAAGUAUCCCCACACUGUCUGAGGCUGAAAAGAAGAGUGUAGCUAUGCACACUGCAGUGAGAAGAAAAUUUCAGCUCAAUUGGAGGAUGUAAAGAUUGAAAUACCACUGCUCCUAGUUCUGAUGCAAAAUUGAAAAGAGUGCACUGGGUCUUCAAAUGGCAUAUUGACAAGGAGAAAGAGGAAAGGAUGCCCCAGGACAGCCUGGGGGUCAAGGCUGGGCUCAGGCAUGCCUGGACAAGCCAUGCAAGUUGUCUCCGGACUUGAACCACGUAUCAGAGGAGCUAUUUGAGGAGCCACAUCAGCAUACCUGCUUCUGUGGGCCCCCAGGCUGUGGUGCUCAGCCCUUGCACUAUGAAACAUUUUUUUUUUCCAGAAGCCAAAGCUUUGAGCAUCUCCUCCCAUGUAGAGAGUGUAUAUGUUUACGUCCAUGUCUUUCGCCAUGUGAACGCAUGCAACCACCACCUCAAAUAUCAUAAAUCCUCUCUCUCCCCCUUUCUGUCUGCCUGUUUAUCUACAAUCUGUCUAUUUAAAUUCUUUUUAAACAAGAAGGGAAUAUCUUUAUGCCUGUUUGUAGGGAUAUUCUACAUCCAUCUGUUAUUUACAUCAUUCGUUUUCCUGAGGUGUCUCCAACAAAUCCUGGCUGGAUGCACUGUAUGUGUUAUUAAUAAAACAGCUGUAAAAAUAUU
ensembl:lncRNA LINC01539 long intergenic non-protein coding RNA 1539